rnacentral:rRNA from 1 species
CACAUAUUGUGAGCUCGAUGAGUAGGGCGGGACACGUGGUAUCCUGUCUGAAUAUGGGGGGACCAUCCUCCAAGGCUAAAUACUCCUGACUGACCGAUAGUGAACCAGUACCGUGAGGGAAAGGCGAAAAGAACCCCGGCGAGGGGAGUGAAAAAGAACCUGAAACCGUGUACGUACAAGCAGUGGGAGCACGCUUAGGCGUGUGACUGCGUACCUUUUGUAUAAUGGGUCAGCGACUUAUAUUCUGUAGCAAGGUUAACCGAAUAGGGGAGCCGAAGGGAAACCGAGUCUUAACUGGGCGUUAAGUUGCAGGGUAUAGACCCGAAACCCGGUGAUCUAGCCAUGGGCAGGUUGAAGGUUGGGUAACACUAACUGGAGGACCGAACCGACUAAUGUUGAAAAAUUAGCGGAUGACUUGUGGCUGGGGGUGAAAGGCCAAUCAAACCGGGAGAUAGCUGGUUCUCCCCGAAAGCUAUUUAGGUAGCGCCUCGUGAAUUCAUCUCCGGGGGUAGAGCACUGUUUCGGCAAGGGGGUCAUCCCGACUUACCAACCCGAUGCAAACUGCGAAUACCGGAGAAUGUUAUCACGGGAGACACACGGCGGGUGCUAACGUCCGUCGUGAAGAGGGAAACAACCCAGACCGCCAGCUAAGGUCCCAAAGUCAUGGUUAAGUGGGAAACGAUGUGGGAAGGCCCAGACAGCCAGGAUGUUGGCUUAGAAGCAGCCAUCAUUUAAAGAAAGCGUAAUAGCUCACUGGUCGAGUCGGCCUGCGCGGAAGAUGUAACGGGGCUAAACCAUGCACCGAAGCUGCGGCAGCGACGCUUAUGCGUUGUUGGGUAGGGGAGCGUUCUGUAAGCCUGCGAAGGUGUGCUGUGAGGCAUGCUGGAGGUAUCAGAAGUGCGAAUGCUGACAUAAGUAACGAUAAAGCGGGUGAAAAGCCCGCUCGCCGGAAGACCAAGGGUUCCUGUCCAACGUUAAUCGGGGCAGGGUGAGUCGACCCCUAAGGCGAGGCCGAAAGGCGUAGUCGAUGGGAAACAGGUUAAUAUUCCUGUACUUGGUGUUACUGCGAAGGGGGGACGGAGAAGGCUAUGUUGGCCGGGCGACGGUUGUCCCGGUUUAAGCGUGUAGGCUGGUUUUCCAGGCAAAUCCGGAAAAUCAAGGCUGAGGCGUGAUGACGAGGCACUACGGUGCUGAAGCAACAAAUGCCCUGCUUCCAGGAAAAGCCUCUAAGCAUCAGGUAACAUCAAAUCGUACCCCAAACCGACACAGGUGGUCAGGUAGAGAAUACCAAGGCGCUUGAGAGAACUCGGGUGAAGGAACUAGGCAAAAUGGUGCCGUAACUUCGGGAGAAGGCACGCUGAUAUGUAGGUGAAGUCCCUUGCGGAUGGAGCUGAAAUCAGUCGAAGAUACCAGCUGGCUGCAACUGUUUAUUAAAAACACAGCACUGUGCAAACACGAAAGUGGACGUAUACGGUGUGACGCCUGCCCGGUGCCGGAAGGUUAAUUGAUGGGGUCAGCGCAAGCGAAGCUCUUGAUCGAAGCCCCGGUAAACGGCGGCCGUAACUAUAACGGUCCUAAGGUAGCGAAAUUCCUUGUCGGGUAAGUUCCGACCUGCACGAAUGGCGUAAUGAUGGCCAGGCUGUCUCCACCCGAGACUCAGUGAAAUUGAACUCGCUGUGAAGAUGCAGUGUACCCGCGGCAAGACGGAAAGACCCCGUGAACCUUUACUAUAGCUUGACACUGAACAUUGAGCCUUGAUGUGUAGGAUAGGUGGGAGGCUUUGAAGUGUGGACGCCAGUCUGCAUGGAGCCGGCCUUGAAAUACCACCCUUUAAUGUUUGAUGUUCUAACGUGGACCCGUGAUCCGGGUUGCGGACAGUGUCUGGUGGGUAGUUUGACUGGGGCGGUCUCCUCCUAAAGAGUAACGGAGGAGCACGAAGGUUGGCUAAUCCUGGUCGGACAUCAGGAGGUUAGUGCAAUGGCAUAAGCCAGCUUGACUGCGAGCGUGACGGCGCGAGCAGGUGCGAAAGCAGGUCAUAGUGAUCCGGUGGUUCUGAAUGGAAGGGCCAUCGCUCAACGGAUAAAAGGUACUCCGGGGAUAACAGGCUGAUACCGCCCAAGAGUUCAUAUCGACGGCGGUGUUUGGCACCUCGAUGUCGGCUCAUCACAUCCUGGGGCUGAAGUAGGUCCCAAGGGUAUGGCUGUUCGCCAUUUAAAGUGGUACGCGAGCUGGGUUUAGAACGUCGUGAGACAGUUCGGUCCCUAUCUGCCGUGGGCGCUGGAGAACUGAGGGGGGCUGCUCCUAGUACGAGAGGACCGGAGUGGACGCAUCACUGGUGUUCGGGUUGUCAUGCCAAUGGCACUGCCCGGUAGCUAAAUGCGGAAGAGAUAAGUGCUGAAAGCAUCUAAGCACGAAACUUGCCCCGAGAUGAGUUCUCCCUGACCCUUUAAGGGUCCUGAAGGAACGUUGAAGACGACGACGUUGAUAGGCCGGGUGUGUAAGCGCAGCGAUGCGUUGAGCUAACCGGUACUAAUGAACCGUGAGG